GGGAGGGGUGCAAGCGUUGUUCGGAAUUACUGGGCGUAAAGCGCGCGUAGGCGGCCUCUUAUGUCAGGGUGUGAAAGCCCUCGGCCCAACCGAGGAAGUGCGCCUGAAACUGAGAGGCUUAGUACGAGAGAGGAGGACGGAAUUCCCAGUGUAGAGGUGAAAUUCGUAGAUAUUGGGAAGAACACCGGUGGCGAAAGCGGUUCUCUGGAUCGAUACUGACGCUAAGGCGCGAAAGCGUGGGGAGCAAACAGGAUUAGAUACCCUGGUAGUCCACGCUGUAAACGAUGGAUAUUAGUUGUUGCGGGCUUAUAAACUCGCAGUGACGACGCUAACGCAUUAAAUAUCCCGCCUGGGGAUUACGGCCGCAAGGUUA
rnacentral:rRNA from 1 species